AUCCAAACAUCUUUCAUAAAUGUUGAUUGCAGUUGAAUAUGGAGUCCAAGUCAAAUUUUUUUCAUUUUUAGCUUCAAACAAGGCUAACAGUGAAACAUUGAAAGACACAAAAUAGCAAAAAUAUUAACUCAACAUAGAUGAGAAAUUCAGAAUUUUCACAUAAAAUAAGCUCAUGAAACAUUUGAAUAAGAUUUAAAAGAUUCACAAAUAAGUAAAAAGUAAAGUUAAAAUGGCCGUUAUAUUUGUCUUUUAAGAUUGAUCUCUUACGCCAUCAGCAAUUUUUCUUUGUCUUUCUCUGUCUUUUAUUUUCUCUUUCGCUUUUUCUUUCUAAUUUAUGACCGGUUAAAUUCAAUUAGCAGAAGACAAAAGAUAAAAGGAUAAGACAAAAGAUAAGCUUAAAGUCUAUAUACAAUUUUGUAAUUUUGCAUAAAUCGUUUGUAAUGCGUUUUACUUUCAAUGAAAACCAGAGUUUCAAUUGUAAUUUAUUCCCUGAUUUUCGUGUCUUAAUUCUUUACUAAUUAGUGAUUGUUCCGUAUUUGAUUUGGAAAUGAAGUUAACUCUUGGUGCGGUUGGUAAACUUACCUUCAGAUACACAAAGUGGAGAUCGGCAGACAUUGUCUUUGGUUGUAUUACUAAUUGUUGAUUCACCUUUAUGUUAACAAUCAAAUAAAACAAGGAGAAUGGUUUAAGUUUAAUUCAGCUGGUUGAUGGACACAAUUAGCAAACCUUUGGAUUUAGAUGAUUGAGCGAAAAAAAAUGUUACAAACGGCGAAACUGCGAGUAAACUAAGGAUAACGUAAGAUGUUGUUGCAACAGGCAUUUAGAGUUAAACAAGACACUGGACUAAAUUAAAUAAAAUCAAUAAAUUACUAAUUAAAUAAAAUAAAUUAAAUAUUGAGAUGAAACUAAAAUUAAAUUAAAUAAACACAUUGGUAUAAGGAGGGUCAACUAAUGUGAAAACAAUCAAAA